GCCCAGAGUGUUGCUUUGACUCAUUCAUACAUGUUUGAUAAAUCGUGCAGUGACAUGAGGCAGCCGGGCAGGGGAGCAAAAACGACYRGUUGGGACUAGAACCACCUUUUGGGACUAGCUCCUCCUCUGGGCUGUGUCUCCGAACCGAGCUUCCUCAUCACAGGGCACACCUCCCCACCCUGCUCGUGAUUCCUGCAGGCACUCGGCAGCAACAAAGCAAACAACUGGUGAAAAUGCUGAGCUCCUAAUACUACUUGUCAAUGCAGCCCUUUUUGGAUAAAAAUACCUUUGAGGAAACGUAUUAUCAACAGCAACAAAGUAAACAAACACUGUUGUCAUCUGCAGGAUCAGUAGUGUGUGUCUGUGAGGAUGACAGAAAUGGAGUUUAAAUGAAAGUUCAACUCUGGAAGACUCAUUGCCUCGCCUGCUCCUGCCGACCUCCACGUCUCAAAUCCAGCUGCGUCCAAUCAUCGCAAGCCCAGCCACGUCCAAUCAGCUCCUGACUGCCAAUGAAUAAAAGCCUGUUGUCUCAAUCACCCCUGCAUGCCAGCUGACUGUCAACUUACCACCACCCCUUCUCCACCCUUCAUCAUCUGGUAUCCAAGGGCACCCCUCCCUUAACUUCCACCACCAGUGUUGGGAGGGGGUGGGGCUACUACCCCUUAACUCAUUGCAACUCGUAUGAGAUUACAGCAUCACUCAGUGCUCUUGUCCUCUGACAGGGUCCGAGCGCCAAACUCUGAUACCGUUCAUGUCAAUAAUCAUGUUGGUCCAGUCAUGUCAAUAAACCUCCUAAUUUCA